rnacentral:misc_RNA from 1 species
AAGUCGUAACAAGGUUUCCGUAGGUGAACCUGCGGAAGGAUCAUUACCGAGUGGCGCGAAAUUCCUGUCGUGAGACGGGGAAGCUACCCGACCUUUUGUCAUUUUGUCAAGUCUGGCUGGCGGGAUUGCAUUCGUGAGAAAGCGAAUGUGGAUUUCGGCAGACGGACCAAAACUUCGGCGGAAGAGGUAGGCGUGGACCUGCCCGCCGCCGGCCGUAUAAGACAAUACACAUUCUUGAGAGCAAACUGAAGUCUAAGACGAUCCUUGAAAAAGGAAUACCAAAAAAAAGCAAAACUUUCAACAACGGAUCUCUUGGUUCUC